CUCCAGACUCCUACGGGAGGCAGCAGUGAGGAAUAUUGGUCAAUGGGCGUAAGCCUGAACCAGCCAAGUCGCGUGAGGGACGACGGCCCUACGGGUUGUAAACCUCUUUUGCCGGGGGACAAACGGCGGCACGCGUGCCGUCCUGAGGGUACCCGGAGAAAAAGCAUCGGCUAACUCCGUGCCAGCAGCCGCGGUCAUACGUAGGAUCCGAGCAUUAUCCGGAGUGACUGGGUGUAAAGAGUUGCGUAGGUGGCAUAAUAAGUAGCUAGUGAAAUCUGGUGGCUCAACCAUUCAGACUAUUAGCUAAACUGUUAAGCUCGAGACCGUUAGGGGUAACUGGAAUUUCUAGUGUAGGAGUGAAAUCCGUAGAUAUUAGAAAGAACACCGAUAGCGUAGGCAGGUUACUGGGACGGUUCUGACACUAAGGCACGAAAGCGUAGGGAGCAAACGGGAUUAGAUACCCUCGUAA
rnacentral:rRNA from 1 species